GGCUAUUUGAAACAGCAGAAAAGGAAAUCUUAGAUAAUUAUGGACUAAAGGUGUUGUGACCUGUUGUCAUCCUGGUGUGUACUACAUGUGGACAUGUUGGUACAGCCUGCCUAGCUUCAUCCAUUUUCACCUGUGGGUGACGUGCGGCACGAGGCAGAGCGUAAUGACCC